GCCGUUGGCAUCUGGCACUGUGGCUCCUGCAUGAAGACAGUGGCUGGCGGGGCCUGGACCUACAAGACUUCUGCCGUCACAGUGAAGUCUGCC
rnacentral:miRNA from 1 species